ensembl:snRNA U2 U2 spliceosomal RNA
UAUACUUCUCGGCUUUUUGGCUAAGAUCAAGUGUAGUAUCUGUUCUUAUCAGUUUAAACUGAACUCCAUUUUCUUCAUGCUCCAUAACUUUGGGUAUACAUAUACUACUAAAACUCUUU